UACGAAGGGGGCUAGCGUUGCUCGGAAUCACUGGGCGUAAAGCGCACGUAGGCGGCUUUCUAAGUCAGGGGUGAAAUCCUGGAGCUCAACUCCAGAACUGCCUUUGAUACUGGAGAGCUUGAGUCCGGAAGAGGUGAGUGGAACUCCGAGUGUAGAGGUGAAAUUCGUAGAUAUUCGGAAGAACACCAAGUGGCGAAGGCGGCACACUGGUCCGGUACUGACGCUGAUGUGCGAAAGCGUGGG
rnacentral:rRNA from 1 species